GGGCGAUUAACUCAGCUGGGAGAGUGCAAGCCUUACAAGCUUGAAGUCGCAGGUUCGAUCCCUGCAUCGCCCACCA
rnacentral:tRNA from 3 species